GAUGAACGCUGGCGGCGUGCCUAAUACAUGCAAGUCGAGCGAACGGACGAGAAGCUUGCUUCUCUGAUGUUAGCGGCGGACGGGUGAGUAACACGUGGAUAACCUACCUAUAAGACUGGGAUAACUUCGGGAAACCGUAGCUAAUACCGGAUAAUAUUUUGAACCGCAUGGUUCAAAAGUGAAAGACGGUCUUGCUGUCACUAAUAGAUGGAUCCGCGCUGCAUUAGCUAGUUGGUAAGGUAACGGCUUACCAAGGCAACGAUGCAUAGCCGACCUGAGAGGGUGAUCGGCCACACUGGAACUGAGACACGGUCCAGACUCCUACGGGAGGCAGCAGUAGGGAAUCUUCCGCAAUGGGCGAAAGCCUGACGGAGCAACGCCGCGUGAGUGAUGAAGGUCUUCGGAUCGUAAAACUCUGUUAUUAGGGAAGAACAUAUGUGUAAGUAACUGUGCACAUCUUGACGGUACCUAAUCAGAAAGCCACGGCUAACUACGUG
rnacentral:rRNA from 1 species